rnacentral:sRNA from 2 species
GAGGGGUAUAUGCGCGGGUAUCGAGAACCAAUCUUGCUCUAGUCGGAUGUUCUGAUCUUUGAAAGGGGGCGACACGUCAAAAAGGAUAUCCUUUCUCCUUAGUUCUCCUAAAGGAAUGACCAAUUUGAAUACCCACGAAACCAGCUCUAAAUCUGCCAAAUCUGCCUCAACUGCAGUUGGACCAGUUAUCUGCGGCUGUUUCGAGCAGACAUGGUACUGGGAAUCGCAAUAGAAGGCAACAAACUAACCGCCAACAAGUUGAUGCGUGGAAUUACAUAGAUAGAUCCCAAGGUGGCAGAGGGUUGAAUAGUCGUGUCUAUUUUACCAAUUGGCCUGGGACUCCGAUGCUCAAGAGUAUUAUAUACCAGAAAAAGCAGUCCACAAACAUUAAACAAGAGGCAAACAUGUUCCACAAGAAGAAAAAGGUCCAAGACAACUAGCCUACGUUCACUAGCGUCAUUCCAUGUGUGGCAUGAAGGAAGCCGUGUGUAGAGUGGC